rnacentral:rRNA from 1 species
GACGAGCGCUGGCGGCGUGCUUAACACAUGCAAGUCGAACGGAAAGGCCUCUUUCGGGGGGUACUCGAGUGGCGAACGGGUGAGUAACACGUGAGUAACCUGCCCUUGACUUUGGGAUAACUUCAGGAAACUGGGGCUAAUACCGGAUAGGAGCUCCUGCUGCAUGGUGGGGGUUGGAAAGUUUCGGCGGUUGGGGAUGGACUCGCGGCUUAUCAGCUUGUUGGUGGGGUAGUGGCUUACCAAGGCUUUGACGGGUAGCCGGCCUGAGAGGGUGACCGGCCACAUUGGGACUGAGAUACGGCCCAGACUCCUACGGGAGGAAGCAGUGGGGAAUAUUGCACAAUGGGUGGAAGCCUGAUGCAGCAACGCCGUGUGCGGGAUGACGGCCUUCGGGUUGUAAACCGCUUUCGCUCAUGACGAAGCUUUGUGUGACGGUAGUGGGUAAAGAAGCACCGGCUAACUACGUG